ACGCUCGACACCUACUGGAGGCAGCAGUGGGGAAUAUUGCACAAUGGGGGAAACCCUGAUGCAGCGACGCCGCGUGGAGGAAGAAGGUCUUCGGAUUGUAAACUCCUGUUGUUGGGGAAAAAGAGGAUGGUACCCAACAAGGAAGUGACGGCUAACUACGUACNCGACAGCCGCGGUAAUCUGAGCGGGCUGGCAAGGC
rnacentral:rRNA from 1 species